rnacentral:lncRNA from 1 species
CUUUCAAGAUGGGAAGUGGCAGCUCUGAUUCUUAUCUGUUUUUCAUAGUGGCCUUCCAUGGGCAGUUUCAUUUAUAAUUCCUCUGCCAAAAUCAUUUUGAAGGCCAUUGAGUGGGUCGUCAUGUGUACUGAGCUGGACAGUUGGAUUUCCCCCCUCUUCUUGUUUAUGACUACAGUCUUCAGUGUGGCGAAAGUGGAUUAAAGAGUUUCCCCCAAAGGCUUCCAGGCAUAUCAUCCUUGCUUUUGAAUAUCUGUAUCAACAUCAAUAGAGAUAUAUGUGUACUCCUAAUUAUA